GGAUGGACCGAGGACUUGAAAAGCCAGCCCCCUCCCGCCGUAGCCUAUGGGAAGAAAGCGGUAUGGAGGCCGGGAGCAAAGUGACAGCUGCUGUAAGCCUAUCAGGUAGAAGAAUAGAGAAUGCCCUUCAGCCUGUUUGCCUUUAUCGUGUGACAGAAUGCAAAGUGAUUUUCUGGAAAAGCGUGCACAUGACUGCAGCUUGGUGAGUGAGCUGACUGGAUUAUUUAUACACAGAAACAGCUGUGUGCUUGCUUGUGGUUUGCUGGGUUCUGCAACUAGCAACACCUGCAGUGGUGUGUGUCCUUUUUGUCCUAUCAAUUUAUAAAUAAAUUUAUUUUAACAGAGUCAUCAUUGUAAGACUCUGGUGCUCUCUUCUCUGCAGAAAGGUGACACAUCUCUGCUCAGUGAAUAUAGGAGAAGGGGGGAAAUACAUCUCCCACAAGUGCCAAUAUGAUUUGCAUUGUAGAAGAGUCAGUGUUUUUAAAUUUCAGAGAAAUAAUGGGGAAUUACACCAUCAAAGAAGGCAAAUACUCCUGGUUUUUUGCACAACAGAAGUAAUGCUAUUGUGGGAAUUUGCAGAGGGUUAGUACCUCUGUCAGCUUGCUGUAGGAAAAACUAUGAAGAGACUUGUGGUCACCUUGAAGGCUAAAAAGUAUGGCAAUCAUCCCCAAAGCUGAAGUCUACUCCAUGAGAAGCAUCUUAUGAAGUUGACUUUAUCCCACAAAAGCUUAUGCCAUAUACAUUUAAAGCAACACAAGACAAUAGUAAGAGACUCUACAGUAUUUGAUGAUACAGACGAAACUCUUAUGUGUGAAGGUAAGAGAAAGAGCUGCAAAUCUCUAAAGACAAAAAGCAAUAAAAAUACUGUAUUUAAUAAAUUGCAUCUGGUGAAGAGGAUUCUGGACCAUGAAAAUGCAUGCUGCAAUAUAUUUAUUAAAACCUUAAGACGCCA